UACGGGGGGGCAAGCGUUGUUCGGAAUUACUGGGCGUAAAGGGCUCGUAGGCGGCCAACUAAGUCCGACGUGAAAUCCCAAGGCUUAACCUUGGAACUGCGUCGGAUACUGGAUGGCUUGAAUUCGGGAGAGGGAUGCAGAAUUCCAGGUGUAGCGGUGAAAUGCGUAGAUAUCUGGAGGAAUACCGGUGGCGAAGGCGGCAUCCGUGGACCGACGAUUGACGCUGAGGAGCGAAAGCUAAGGGGAGCAAACGGGG
rnacentral:rRNA from 1 species